UGGCAAUGAUGAUUAAAAUUGGAUUUACGGUUGCCAUUUACUUCCUUGGUAGUAGAUUGAUGAAUUCUGGUAUAGGGUUCUAAGCCAA
rnacentral:snoRNA from 1 species